UUUUCUUGGGCGUAAGCUUAUCGACGAGGCUACUUAACGGCGUGGCAUCCACUUCUAACGCAAACUCCCCAAGCUCACCACAUAGUUAACUAUCAUGCCCGCAAUGACCCAUCUUGCAGGAAGCAUAUUUUCUGAAAAAUCCAAUAGUUAUCUACCAAAUCAAGGUCACAUAUUUAAGCAACAUGCUAUUAUAUUUUACAGAGCGUCGAUCAAUACAGCAGACAAAAUGGCUUUGGUUUGCGAGCACAAUCUGUCCCUUAUAAUGUUCAAUGAAUGUGUGUUCAGGGAGAAACAGAUAAGGCAGUCAUUCGCUGAAAUUAGUUUUCACACAACAGAACCUCAGUGGUCAAAGAAUUAAUAAUUCAUCAGGAUCCAUUUAUUUAGCCACCAUUUGAUGGAACUGAGGUUAUCUGUCUCAUACACAAGAUUAUAUAUUGCUGGAAUUAAGCCUGAUGGAACUGAGGUUAUCUGUCUCAUACACAAGAUUAUAUAUUGCUGGAAUUAGGCCUGCAGGAGGAAUUGUGUAUCUAUAUACAGUACUUGCUCAUUAACUUUCAAAUGACUCUCAGAGAAUACAACACUUUAGGACUAGCCCCUUUUGAUCCAACCUUGCCUCCUCAUUUCCUGCACACACACAACUAAUGAUUACUGUAUAUUUCUUGAGAAUUUUACAAAACAUAUGCAUAAACCAAGUAAUUGCAUUGCAAGGAAGAUGCCCAUUGUUCAGUUGCUCAUAAUUCCGCAUCUUACCAUCCUGACUUGGUGCCAGUGCUAAUGCAUGGAGUUCAUAUCGGGUUUCACUCCAUUUAAUAACAACCGCUAACAAAUCCCAAUUUAGUUGAAUCAUUUCAAACGUUUGAGCAGUAAAUCAAACUCACACCCGUGAUUCAAAGUACAAUCAUUAACUGAUGUACACUUCAAUUUUGUUUUUGCCUUGGUUGUGUACUGGCGGUGUCUAUCUUUCACUUCCUAAACAGCACAUUUCAUCAUUUUUAACCACUCCUUCCCAUCUCCCCAUGAAAACAAGAGUUGUUAAUUUCAUUAAGUUAUUCUUGCUUGACUAGAAAAUCAAUACCAAAUAGAUAGGAUACACCAAGAAUAUGCAGAAGCAAAAUAGACACACCUU
rnacentral:lncRNA from 1 species